UGUUGUGUUUGGUUCUAGGCGGCCAUGUUUAUUUUAGGCCUGAAAACAGCAAAAAUGUCAACUAUGAUACAAAAACUCCCAAAAUUAUAGACUGACCCGGACGUUCAUGAAAAAAAUCUGAAAGGUCAUGUGAUGAUAAUCUUCACAGUUUAACAGCUUGAAGUUUUUUAGUUUUUUUAAAAAAAAAUUUAUUGCUGUUAAGCUGCAGUGACUAUUUUUAGCCUCUGCUUAAUUGGAUGUGUGGAGAAGUUCACACAAGUUCAACUUCAGACCAUCAACACACAGACACACACUGGAGGUCCAGCCUCCGGUCCAGUAGUCUGUCACAGAUGUGCCUGAGCUGAAUGACCGAAGGCUAAAAAACAUUCACCCGCUCAGACAUUCCGUCUCUCAUCUGGCUGAACAGGAGGCCCUAAAUGGGUCAGAGGCAUCACAGACCUGAACACGCACACUUUCUCUCUCACGCACGCACGCACGCACGCACGCACGCACGCACGCACGCACGCACGCACGCACGCACGCACGCACGCAGUGUGGAGCAGCCAUGUUUUAGUAUUCAUCGGUCACAUUACAGAUAUUUAUUUAGGAAGCAUCUUUGCACAUCAUCAUUUAGACGUCUUAUUUGUUAGACAGAAAAAUCACAGAUGACAUUACAACAGUCCAGCUAUGGAAUAAAAGGUAGAAACGGUUUGAUUAGCAUUAGCAAACAUGAGCUGUUUUGCGUUAAUGUGACCGAGCAUGUGAAUGAAUAUUUCUAUCCUCUUGUGCGUAUCUUGUGAUAAACUAGUGUGUGUGCGUGUCGGUGCAGGGGGGUAAAUAUAGCCAGCGUGGAGGGAAGGAGUGAGUCCAGAGCUCCAGGUCCCUGCAGGGCUCGGCAGCGUCUGCCAACUCAGUGUGGCUCCCGGCGUUUCUCUCACGGGAAGCAGUGAGGAAGAGGAAGCUGCUGUUUAUACCUAAAUAAAAACAAGAACAUCUGUUUGCUUCCUUGCUUUAAUGGGAUGUGAGGUAUGGAUGCAGGCUGUUGGGAAUUAGACUUGUUGGUCACUUUAACCUCGAUGUCAGGUUUUAAUAUUUGUCAUGUUUGUCAGGAGGGAAGCUUGAUACAGUCACUGCUACUGACGUAACCGUGCAUUUUAUGUCACUUUCAGUUGAUAAAGAUGCCAUUGUGAUGGUUGCUAGGGGGCUGGCUUGGUAUUUCUGUAAAUUUAUGUAAUGUCCAUUUGACAUUUGUCAGUUUUCUUUAAUUUAUUACAUUUCUGUCAUUUUACCAUCAGUUUAAAACAGCUAAUGUCGCAUGCACACAUUCAAGGUGAGCAACCAGGUAUUGGCCUGCUGUGCACUGAUUACUCACCUUCACCUCCUAUGGACAGCCUAAUGUCACUCAUCACAAUGUUCGUUUUAGAGCCCUGUUUACCAGAAAUUACAAUUCUGUCAAACUAAACUGCAUUCUCAGUUACAUUUUUUGCACAAUACUUUUAUUCCUACAUGUCAUUUAUUUUACUACUUUGUUGUUGCUUCUUUUCAGCUAACAAGCAUAUAUUAGAGACUCCUGGCAACUGAAAAAAAUGCUUGAGAAGCUUCAGCUGUGUUGUUAAGGGACCAAAUUUGAACCCAAACUUUGAAAGUUAAAUGUUUGUCUAAGAAUGGUGGUCCGACUCCAGACUUGCUCCUAGAACCUCCCCUCCUACCUGCUUAUGCUGACUUAAUGCAAAAUUUAAGUUUCUUUCAAAACAUAAAUAAAAAUGCAGUUCAUUUGGAAAUUCCAUGCCCAUUUGGAUGAAUACAAAUGUCAUUGUUCUUUAUGCGUAUGUGUAAAAUAGUGUCGUUUAUGUGGGCAGAACCAUACCUUUUAUGAAGAAAUACUGAGGUACUUAAUAAUUCUGUUGUGUCUGCAAAUCUUGAAAAGCAUUCCUCAUUUACUGCUGACAGUUAGGAAACUGAAAAAUAAAAAGGUCAUAUGUAACAAACCUCAGGAACCAAUCCCGUCCAUUUGCAGGGUGAGAAGUUUCGCAUCAUGUAAUGUGCUCAAACUGCAGUGACUGGGGAGAAGUGGAGACUUGAAAGAUCUAGAUCUAGAAGAAGCAAUGGUGUAGAGAUAUGUCAGCCGUUAUAAGGCAGGUGAAUAUGAUCCAUAUAUCCAUCCAUUAUCUAUAUGAUAACUCUACAGAGGGGACGCAGGGAGAAUGGAGUCUAUCGCAGCUGACUAAGGAUGAAGGCAGGGAAUGUCCUGGACGGGUUGUCAGUCUGUUUGUUUCUCCAGGUUAAAUCCAGAGGGACUUUAAAUUUGUCAUGAGUCUGUUGUGUUGUCAAAUCUGCAAAUUUCUUCAGAAUUAAACUUUUGACAGUUUUAACAUUAAACUGGUGUCGCUCCUCUACUGGGAGGAAAUGCAGAAAACAUUUUUACAUUGGCAGCUUUCCAAUGAAGGAACUCGGGGCAGGCGUGAGGUGGUGUAGCAGGAUGGUGUUCUUCUCGGCUGCACGCGGCUGGGAGCCAAUCAGGACACGCCCACCAGCUAUAAAAGCUGGGAAGCGGCCCCCCGUACCUUCUCUCUCUCGCUGAGGCUGAAGCCACGCCCUUUCCGGUUGCUCUCCCUGGUCUGUUACCGGUGUUUCAAACGUUCGGCGUGUUGUCUUGAUUGGUGUCGGGUAGUUGUGUUACCAACGGAAGCUACAGCGGCUGGAGCGGCUCCUGACGUGCUCUCCUUGUGUGUAUGUGUGUGUGUGCCACGCAGCUGCUCAGAGGUGUGCUCGUUUUCUUGAUGUUGAACAUAAUGAAUUGCCACAUUCUUCUAACACAGCCUUUCUGUUGUCACCACGCUGUUUAGUGGCAGCGCCGAGGACCCGCUGCUGUUUAGCCUUGCUGCUGCUUUGCUUCACUUUGACCGUGUAUCUGUGACGGGCUAGCUAUACGGCUAACUGCAGCUAGCCUCCGCUACUUCUCUGCCUUAUCAGCCUGGUCUGCUUCCGCUCGGCAUCAGCCGGGUUAGACCAGGCAGCUUGGGAGUGGGGUUUCUUUUAGAAUUCAGUAUUUAUCUUCUUGUUUCUAACAUUUGUUCUCUUUGUGCUUUUAUUUGUGUCCAGGUAGGGACACAAUUUUAUGGGUGGAUAUUAUUUGGGUUUAGUUUCUUUUUGUUUGGCCUUAUGGCCUAUAUUGGUUUGAUUAAUUAAGAUCGAUUUUCUAUUGAUUUGUUAUUUGGUUAGCUGUGUCUAAAGGAUUGGUUUAGUUUCUUUUUUUACUUUUGAACUUUAGUGUCUGUGAUUCUUGCUUUUUUUUGGUAUUUUGUAUUCUGUGUUCAAAUGUUUCGUGAUGUUUAGUUUGUAGGAUUUUUGUUGUUGUUUAUAGUUUAAUUUCUUAUUUUGUUUAUUGUUCAUUUUGCAUUCCCACUAAUCCCCCUUUUGUUUUGUUUCAGAGGCUGAGCAUCUGUGGUAGGGACGUGGUGUUGUCAGUGGUGGUAUCCUCCCUGUGUGAUGUGUGAACCCUGGGUAUAUUUUGUUUAAUCCAUCACCUGUGUGUGUGAUUUUAUUCACCUGGUGACCUCUCCCUGUUCCUCCCCUCCAGGGACACAUCCUGCCACAUGUGAGCCGCCUUACCUUGAUUCUCUGGAUCCUGGGUUCUGAACGGACACCUGCCGCUGCCACAGGAAUACCAGUCACUCCAUCUGGAACGCCAUACUCCCCUUGCCUGAAGCCAGUCAGCGGUUGUCCCCUGGCAAGCCAGCCAUACCACUGCAGGCUGAGUUACAUCAAGGAGGAGAUCCGUUUCCCUCUGGACUGCUCGAUUCUGGCUUCUAGCUUGGACUCUGUUCACCCAGGACAUUCAGUUAAGUUCUCCAGCCUUGCAUUAUCAGAUUGGUAGACCAGGCCUGGUAGUUUUGAUCUGUGAAUUUUGUAUUAACUUGAUUCUGGGGUUAUAGCCAUUUCUAGUGGUUAAUGUCUUGUGCUAGAAGUUAGUUUUUGUUCAUAGGAAGUUUUGGUUAUCAGGAUUACAUUAGCUGAGAAAUUGUAUAUACGGUAUUUAGUUUGUUUUCGUUGAAUUCUUGCUUUGGUGUUACCAACAGUGGGUUUUCUGUUUUUUUGAGUUCUUCCUAGUUCUUGUAGUUAGCCCGCCUCACCUCUAGAGGGUUUCUAGUUCCGUCUAUUUUGCGGAUUCACCUUAGUUUCCGCUUUUCAGUAUUCUGGUUUUGAAAUUGUUUUGUAUUUAUUCUGGUGUUAUAAAUAAAUACCUUUAAACUGCUUUUGUUGUGGAGAUCUUAUUUCCUGCACUUGAGCCUUUGCACCCACUGUAACACCUUAAUAUACAAAACUUUGGGGCCUUUUCUACACUCAUUUUUCUCCUUGUAAAAACAAUACAUGUUUGCCAAGUAUAACUCACUGAAUUCUUUGUCACAGUGCUCCUUUACUAGCUAAACUCCCACAAUGUACCCUGCUUGCCAACUUGCUACAGCAUUAAGUAAGAGACUAACCUGCAGAUACCUAAUGUUAAAUCACUCCGAUCAGAUUGCAUGGGGGCACUCCAAAAUACCAGUUUCCAUAGGAUAUGUUUGGACCAAAUUUCACAGCUUGUCAUUGAACUUGUUUGAAAAAUGUUAGCAGAUCACCAGGCUAGAGUUGACGCUAUCACUGCUAAUACUCCUAAGUGGUUAAAACAGUUGGGGACAGGGGGCAGUGUUAUGUAACCACGACCACGUCAGUGCGCUUCGUCUCAGCCUCCAGUCUGAUCGCUGCCAUAUUUCACUUCAAGUGCUUCUGAGCUCUUGGACGGAGGCAGCCUGAGGCGGGUGCUGCUGUCUCUGACAACAUUUCUGCCCAUGAAAACACGAUUCCCUCGGGUUCAAAUCAGUUUUAACAGUAUAGGCUCCGGCUGUGGUAUCUUAUAUGCCGCGUGCUGCUCGGCUUCAUUUGUAACAUCCCGUCCUUUCUUCUUUAUUUAACACUUCCCUCAUAACCAGUGCGGCCCCGAAGUUCUGUGAUAAGUUCCUCCCAUGCCAUAGUGGGAAUAAAUUAAGAGGAUUGUUGCUGUUGUUUCUGCUGAGACUUUCCCUGCUGCGAUACAGUACAUGGAAGUUGGAAGGAUUAAGAGAAAAGCCUGAGCCAAGACAUAAUGCCUCUUUGAAAUCCUCCACACCCCCUGCAGAUGACUAAUUUCCCUCUUUACUUAAAUCCACUCUCCCUCUGUCUCCCACCUCUUUUUUCCUCCCUCCAUCUCCAUAUCUCUGUUUCCCACAGCAGGUCCUUCUCUUUGCUUUCCUGUCACCUCUCAUCUCACUGUGCUCCUCCAACGUUAACGCUAAGUCAUACUGACAUCAUAUAUGAUGUUUGUGUUCCUGUGACUAAGCUGAUGUUGCCGGCUGAUUUCCUUCACUUUAAUUGUAUGGAAAAUCCUGUGAACAGACCAGAAUUUGUCUUGUGACAUUGGUGCAGAAACACACUGUGAGCGAAGGCAUCUUUGUGUCAGCACAUUCAAUGCAAUUAUCACCUACAGUCUAUCCAACACUGCACGCCACUUACCGUGAUUCAAACUGAGAAUUUCACUUAUUUUUUAAAAACACAGGUGAAAUUGAAAAAUGACUUUAGUCAAUUCUGACAAUGUAAGAAACUGAUUUUCAGAGGAUUUAGCCUCCUUCUCAAUCUCUUUUCAUUUCCCCUCUCUCCCUUCUGUUCUUAUUCUCUCCGUCCCAUGCCACCUCCUUUCGCUCUCUCUCCUCCCAUUCACCUCUCCUUCAUCCCCUCCCCUCCUCCCCCCGUCCUCUCCUUUUUGCUCUACAGCAACGUUCAUAAUUGGUCUGGAGACGUACAAUACAGUAUUGACAGCUCGCACGGCAACAACAAUGCACAUGCUGACGCACAUUUUUCAAGGACGGCCAGGCCUCACACAGUGUGCACGAGCUACACAUGACUAUAUCCAUAUAUCUGACUUUCACUAAACGGCAGUAAACCGCGUAUUAUUCAUCACGGUGUGUAAAAUGACUGGGGGGGGGUCAUCAUUACAGUUUAAUAAAGGUCAUCAAGAGCCACAGUGUUGAUGUCACUACAGGGCUAGAUGCUAAUUCAGACUUUAUUUUCUAACACAGAACUUGAUGCAAGAAUUUUGGGUUAUUAAAAGAUGCCCUUCAAUUCAAAUUCAUUUUUUUUACACUGUUAAUAUGUCCUGUUAAUACCAGUUUGCACCAUGACUGAAAUUAGCGCCUUGAAACUGCACUGUACCAAUGACAGAUUUAAAAACAUGGAUUCAGACUGCCAAGGUUUCA